UACGGGGGGGGCAAGCGUUGUUCGGAAUUACUGGGCGUAAAGGGCUCGUAGGCGGCCAACUAAGUCAGACGUGAAAUCCCUCGGCUUAACCGGGGAACUGCGUCUGAUACUGGAUGGCUUGAAUCCGGGAGAGGGAUGCGGAAUUCCAGGUGUAGCGGUGAAAUGCGUAGAUAUCAGGAGGAACACCGGUGGUGUAGACGGCUUUCUGGACCGUAACUGACGCUGAGACACGAAAGCGUGGGUAGCAAACAGG
rnacentral:rRNA from 1 species